CUGGUAGCCUACAGUAUUAAGAAUUUGUGGGUAUAAUAUUUCACAGAUCACUAUUUUGCCAUACUCACUUACAUAAAUGAACUAGUGGCCUGCACCCACUAGUAAAACAAUUCUAUCUGAUUUUUGGAUUGACUUUGGAUAAAUUCUUGUACUACAAGGUAAAUCAGUCAAGAGCAGUGAGUGAUUUACUUUCAUUUUCAUACAUUAAAGACUCUGACAGCAGAGCUAGUAAAUUAGGCGCGGUCCCUUUAAGAGACAAACGCAUCCAUUAUGAUGAUACACAUCCGAUUUUUUUUUGCAACUCUUUACUUUCACUUAAGACAUUACCACAUACUUAUUCGAACACACUUUCCAACACGGGUAUUUCGACAUAUUUUGUAUGUAUUUGUUGUCGGUACAAAAGCAAGAAGACUUUGAGACGCGUCUCUGCUUGCCCUGAACAACACCGCGCUGCUGAAUUGAGCUCUUUCGCUUUUCGCUCUUUUUUCUGUUUAUUUAAACUGCGAUUUGAAUUUGUUCGUUCAGGUCCAGGAGGAAGUGAACGUCCUGAACGACAGCUCUGUUCAGUGUUGCUGUCCCUGUCCGCGAUACGCGCGGCUCUCUCUCGUGCACACGCGCCAUCAGCUACUCAGUUCAGUUUCCCGCAGCGCGGGGCUGAAGCCAACUUGAUGUGUUGAAUGCUCGGAGCACGUUAUAAAACGUAUUCUUAAAAUACACAUUUCUGUUUUAAUAAAUGGUCAUAUUAAAUCAUAGCAUAACACAUAAGUAGGUACAAAAAUAAUCAGUGAUGCAUGCGACCCUUUUGGUCUCACUCCCUGCUUUACCAUGUUAUGCAACGCUGAGCAAUUGCUGCGACGUUAAGCCUGACAGAGAAAUCUCACAAGCACAUAUAAACACUCAUUUUCAUAUGUGUAAUAUAUUCUUCUAAUUGUUUUGUGCCGUUUCGCUGCAGUGUUUUAAUGUGAAAGGCUGUAAAUGUGUACUUCAAGUGUUCAGAGGAAUACAUCCCGAGCUCAUCUGUGACGUUCAGCAUGAUGAUUCAGUUAGAAACCAGCUAAGACCAGCGUGACAGUGGCCAAAACUACUUUAAAACCAUAUAAUAUAUUAUUCUAAUUGUUUUGUGCCGUUUCGCUGCAGUGUUUUAAUGCGAAAGGCUGUAAAUUCUCUGUGGACUUCAAGUGUUCAGAGAAAUACAUCGCCAGCUCGCGGACAUUUGGCUGCCGCGAAUAUAUCAUGUUAUUACUUUAAACAGUUCAGAAACAUCUGAAUUUAGCUCUUGGUGUGUUCUAACGUGUGGAUUGCGUGCAAUCGCCGUUUUAAAAGGUCUUAAAUAAGAAUGAAUUCGCUCGU